GGGUUGUGAGGUUAAGCGACUAAGCGUACACGGUGGAUGCCCUGGCAGUCAGAGGCGAUGAAGGACGUGCUAAUCUGCGAUAAGCGUCGGUAAGGUGAUAUGAACCGUUAUAACCGGCGAUUUCCGAAUGGGGAAACCCAGUGUGUUUCGACACACUAUCAUUAACUGAAUCCAUAGGUUAAUGAGGCGAACCGGGGGAACUGAAACAUCUAAGUACCCCGAGGAAAAGAAAUCAACCGAGAUUCCCCCAGUAGCGGCGAGCGAACGGGGAGCAGCCCAGAGCCUGAAUCAGUGUGUGUGUUAGUGGAAGCGUCUGGAAAGGCGCGCGAUACAGGGUGACAGCCCCGUACACAAAAAUGCACAUAUUGUGAGCUCGAUGAGUAGGGCGGGACACGUGGUAUCCUGUCUGAAUAUGGGGGGACCAUCCUCCAAGGCUAAAUACUCCUGACUGACCGAUAGUGAACCAGUACCGUGAGGGAAAGGCGAAAAGAACCCCGGCGAGGGGAGUGAAAAAGAACCUGAAACCGUGUACGUACAAGCAGUGGGAGCACGCUUAGGCGUGUGACUGCGUACCUUUUGUAUAAUGGGUCAGCGACUUAUAUUCUGUAGCAAGGUUAACCGAAUAGGGGAGCCGAAGGGAAACCGAGUCUUAACUGGGCGUUAAGUUGCAGGGUAUAGACCCGAAACCCGGUGAUCUAGCCAUGGGCAGGUUGAAGGUUGGGUAACACUAACUGGAGGACCGAACCGACUAAUGUUGAAAAAUUAGCGGAUGACUUGUGGCUGGGGGUGAAAGGCCAAUCAAACCGGGAGAUAGCUGGUUCUCCCCGAAAGCUAUUUAGGUAGCGCCUCGUGAAUUCAUCUCCGGGGGUAGAGCACUGUUUCGGCAAGGGGGUCAUCCCGACUUACCAACCCGAUGCAAACUGCGAAUACCGGAGAAUGUUAUCACGGGAGACACACGGCGGGUGCUAACGUCCGUCGUGAAGAGGGAAACAACCCAGACCGCCAGCUAAGGUCCCAAAGUCAUGGUUAAGUGGGAAACGAUGUGGGAAGGCCCAGACAGCCAGGAUGUUGGCUUAGAAGCAGCCAUCAUUUAAAGAAAGCGUAAUAGCUCACUGGUCGAGUCGGCCUGCGCGGAAGAUGUAACGGGGCUAAACCAUGCACCGAAGCUGCGGCAGCGACGCUGAUGCGUUGUUGGGUAGGGGAGCGUUCUGUAAGCCUGCGAAGGUGUGCUGUGAGGCAUGCUGGAGGUAUCAGAAGUGCGAAUGCUGACAUAAGUAACGAUAAAGCGGGUGAAAAGCCCGCUCGCCGGAAGACCAAGGGUUCCUGUCCAACGUUAAUCGGGGCAGGGUGAGUCGACCCCUAAGGCGAGGCCGAAAGGCGUAGUCGAUGGGAAACAGGUUAAUAUUCCUGUACUUGGUGUUACUGCGAAGGGGGGACGGAGAAGGCUAUGUUGGCCGGGCGACGGUUGUCCCGGUUUAAGCGUGUAGGCUGGUUUUCCAGGCAAAUCCGGAAAAUCAAGGCUGAGGCGUGAUGACGAGGCACUACGGUGCUGAAGCAACAAAUGCCCUGCUUCCAGGAAAAGCCUCUAAGCAUCAGGUAACAUCAAAUCGUACCCCAAACCGACACAGGUGGUCAGGUAGAGAAUACCAAGGCGCUUGAGAGAACUCGGGUGAAGGAACUAGGCAAAAUGGUGCCGUAACUUCGGGAGAAGGCACGCUGAUAUGUAGGUGA
rnacentral:rRNA from 1 species